GUAUACGGGGGAGCAGCGUUAUCCGGAAUCAUUGGGCGUAAAGCGCCUGUAGGUUGUUUAGUAAGUCUGUUGUUAAAGACCAGGGCUUAACCCUGGGAAAGCAAUGGAAACUACUAGACUUGAGUAUGGCAGGGGUAGAGGGAAUUUCUAGUGUAGCGGUGAAAUGCGUAGAUAUUAGAAAGAACACCGGCGGCGAAAGCGCUCUACUGGACCAUUACUGACACUCAGAGGCGAAAGCUAGGGGAGCAAAAGGGAUUAGAUACCCCUGUAGUCCUAGCCGUAAACGAUGGAUACUAGAUGUUGCGCAAUUUGUGCAGUAUCUUAGCUAACGCGUUAAGUAUCCCGCCUGGGGAGUACGCUCGCAAGGGUGAAACUCAAAGGAAUUGACGGGGGCCCGCACAAGCGGUGGAGCAUGUGGUUUAAUUCGAUGCAACGCGAAGAACCUUACCAGGGCUUGACAUACUACAAAUCUUUUCGAAACGAAAGAGUGCCUUCGGGAAUGUAGAUACAGGUGGUGCAUGGCUGUCGUCAGCUCGUGUCGUGAGAUGUUGGGUUAAGUCCCGCAACGAGCGCAACCCUCAUUUUUAGUUGCCAAUUUAUUGGGAUUUCUAGAGAGACUGCCGGUGACAAACCGGAGGAAGGUGAGGAUGACGUCAAGUCAGCAUGCCCCUUAUGCCCUGGGCCACACACGUGCUACAAUGGCGAAGACAAAGAGUCGCAAACCUGCGAAGGCUA
rnacentral:rRNA from 1 species